UCUCGCAGUAUAGCAGGCCCCUAUCCCUUAGCAAAUCUUUCUCAGCAACAGAAACAAACACCUUGGAGCACCCCAGACUAGACAAAUUUGGAUCAUAAGUAGGAUUGAUUAAAGGGUCAUCACAUCCACUUGUUUUAGGACAUGCAAGGUGCCAUGUUGCACUCAUCCCUUUCAACUCCCUUUCUAAUUCAUUAACUUCAUUUCCAAUCCGUUCCUCUCCCCAAAAAUAAGGAUUUAUUAAAACAAUACCUGCAACAUUUACACCAAUUAUUUUCUCUUGACCAAACCUCAUAGCCACGUGGUGUGCUAUGUUACCACCAGCACUGUCACCAGCCAAGAACACCUUGCUUAAAUCAGCAUGUUUAUUUAGCCACUCUUCAGGUCCGUCUCCGUUGACAUGAGAUGCAGCCCAUUUUAGGGCAGCCCAUGAAUCAUCAUAUGGAAUAGGGAUGGGAUGUUCUGGUACUCUCCUAUAAUCAACAGAGAUAGCAAUAACUUUAGCCUCUGCGACUAAGAGGUUAACGUAAUUAUGGUAAGUAGGCGAGAAGGCAUUUUCAACGUAGAAGCCUCCCCCAUGAACGUAAAUUAGGAGAGGGAGCUUUUUGUUGGGAUCCACUCCUUUUGGGAGGUAAAGUCUACAAGAUAGUCUUGCUUCUUUUGAAUAGAUGACAUCUUUUGACAGGACAUUGGAUUUGGGAUCCUGGGAAGGGGGGACGAUUUCGUUGCCAAAGAGCCUCUCUAUCCUGCCAUCUUUAUAUAAGAUGAUAAAGGGAGACAGAUCCUUGGCAACAUCAGCCUUGGCUGCGUCCAUAUUGAAUGAAAACAUGGUGGCUUUUCUUUUCUCUUCCCUCUGUUUUACAAGAAAUGAUGAAGUUGUGGUAGCCUGAGAAAAGAAUGGAGGAGGGUCUUUAAUUUAUAGACAGGUGAAAGACAGAGACAAGGAAGAAAUUGAAUUCUUACGGUGUUCCCUGCUACUGGUUUUAAAUCCUCAAGCAAUUAAUUCUUGGCUAACACAGCAAUAAUCACAUAAUAAAAGUCUUCUAGAUGGGUUGAAAUUCUAAAGUGAGAGUGUCCAAGUUCCAUACCUGAUCAAACGCUAUGAUUCAACGUCCAGGCUUGUCAAAUAAGGAAACUCCAGGAGAACGUCAGUAGUUGACUAGCGCGUAAUUACUUUACUAAUUUUAUUGGCCAAAUCGCAUGGAUUUAUCAUGCGAUUAAUUCUUGUUUAUAUAUAUAAAAAAAAAAACAAGAAGGGAAAAGUCUGUUAAAAGGAAUGAAGUUUCAUGCUUAGGGCCCUACCUCCGUCUUGAGAAUUAUCAUGAAGCUGUCUUGUAAUCCUUUUCUUUUGUAACUAAUUAAGGCCGACUACCAUCUCAGAAAGGAUGGUUCUACUACGAUUUACUAAUGCCGACGUAUUAGGUAACCCAAUCAAUGCACCGACAUUUAGUAUAUAUAUUCUGGACCUAAAAGCAUCGAGGUGGCUUUUAUAUUCAUCUUGUUGAGAUGAUAAUUUCCUUUGCAAAAUCAACCCCCCCCCCCCCCGCCGCCACAAGGUGGCUUUAGAAUUUCCGGGUUUCAUUAGAUUUAUUUUGUUGAAAUGAUAAGUAGAGUUAAUUAUAAUUUAGUUCAUGUGUUUUUUUAUGAUGUUAUAAGUUAGUCCUUGUUGCUUUUAAAAUUAUAAGCAAUCCCCUGACCAGGGUUGAUUAUAAAUUUUUAAAAGUUCGAAUUAUUCAAAAGCAGUGGAUAUGGUUUUUAUUUUUUAUUUUCUCUUUAUGUUUGUCUUAUUUUUUUAAAGUGAACAUACUGUGAAAAACAAAUAUUGAUCUUAGAGACAUAUCAAAAUUUCGAUGAUGACAUCAUCAAUAUUAUUGAAAAGAUUUAAAUAAAACGAAUCCGAUAACAUUAAAAAAACGAUCAUAAACGAUAAACGAAGUGGGUACACAAGCCAUCCAAAUGUAUUGAGGCUCACUUGUCUUUGAAUCGCUUGUGUGACCCACUCCAGUCACCGUUAGUAACAUUUUUUAGUUUUGUUAGAUUCAUCUUGUUAAGAUUUUUUUAAUAGUAUUUAUAGUGUCGUCAUCAAAUAUUGAUAAGUUGUAUAAAUCCCUUUUCUUUUCCUUUCUUGUUUUUUUCUCUCUUCUCUCUCAUUUCUUUUUAUUAAAUCUUGUGUUGGAUAAUUUUACUAUUUAAAAUAAUACUCGCCACUCUUCAUGGAUCAUUGAUAUUAUUGGUAUCUUUCUAAACUAUACUAUUUUUCUAAAUAUUUUUUGUAUUAUAUUAUUUUUUCUGAAUCAUGGUAGCAAGAUUGUCAAAAUAUUUUUUUAACAUCAAACAAAAUAUAUAAUAUAUAUUCGGAUAGUAAUAAUCUAUUGAAAAGCACAUGAGCAUCCUCUUCCUUAGUAUAUGAUGAUUCAUGGACAGCCCUUAAAUGGGUUGCAUCUCAUGAUAAUGGAGAUGGGCCUGAGGAGUGGCUAAACUCUCAUGCUGAUUUUAGCAAGGUGUUUUUUUCUGGAGAUAGAGCCGGGGCUAAUAUAUCACACCACAUGGCCAUGAGACACGGUCAAGAUAAACUAGUUGUAUAAUAAAUACUGUUACUGUUAAAAAAAAUAUGAUACGAUAUUAACUGGAUAUUAGUUGUAAAAAUUUCAAAAUACUAAUUUUAAUUUUUUUUUUAUGUUUGUCAUACAAUUAUUUUUUAAAAAAAUUGUUAAAUAAAGACUUCUUAUAAUAUAAAAACAUAUAUUCUUUAAUUGAUCAAUUUUUAGAGUUUAUUUAAAAGUGUGAUAGCAAUUGUUUUUUAAAAUAUUUUUUUCAUUAAAUUUAUUAAAAUAAUAUUUUUUAUUUUUUAAAAUUUAUUUUUAAUAUUAUAACAUCAAAAUAAUUUAAAAAUAUCAAAAUAAUUAAUUUUAAAUAAAAAAACCUUAUAUUUUAAAAAAUAUUUUAAAAAAACAAAAACAAAUAAUUUAACCGUGAACGUGGGUGCACAGUUCCUCGAUUUUGAAACUUCAAGUACGUUUUACAGCUGCCUACUGGGCCUGGGCUAUUAAUGUCCUUUUCCAUUAUGCUCGCACGUGACUAUGUUAGUUCUAACUAACUUUAUUCGAGGACAUGAUUCUAUAUUUUUCUUUUUUCCCUGUUAUAAUCAAACAAUUAUUAGUAUUAUAUUAUAAUUACUAGUAUUGUAAAAAACAUAAAACAACAAUUUUUGAAAAAAAAUAUGCAUACUAGAUUUAUAUAAGUUUCUUAUAAAUUAAUGACAAUGUUACCCAAAUCUUAUUUGAAAAAAAAAACAUAAUAUGAUAAUUUUCUAAAUUUUAUUGAAGUAAUAUUAAUUACAAAUUAUUUUAUUCUAGAAAGAUAAAAUAAUUUUUUUUUAUAAAAAAACAACAAGAGUAGUGUAGGGGAUGAUUAUUUUCGGUUCGGUUCGGUUUUUAUAAAAAAAAGAGUAACCAAACUGAAUUUUUUUUAUAUAAAAACAAACCGAAACCGGUUCAAACCGACCGGUUUCAGUUCGGUUCAGUUUUUUACGACACAAAACCGGUUCAAACCGGUUUGGCUCGGUUUUUUCUGUUUGAAUUCGGUUUGGUUUUUUCAGUUUCAGGCUUAUAAAACCAAAACCGAACCGGUCGGUUUUUUCAAAAUUUUAAUCGGUUUUUUUCACAGUUCGAUUUUUUCAAUUAUUUUUUCUGGUUUUCUCGGUUUAAUCGGUUUUUUGGUUUUUUUCUUACCAUUGGAGUGGUGGAUUUGGUUGCUGAAAGAUCAAGGUAUAGUUUAUUUGUACCCUAAAAACUUAAAUUUCACUGUAUUUUCAUUAAAAAAAAUCUCAUGAGGUAUCAAAUAUGCCUAAGAACUUAAAAUUAAUCCUAACAAAAAAUCCAAACCUAAACCAAUUUUCAUAGCAUGAUUAAAAACCAAAAACCAUUUUUAUGGGACCCCCCCUAAAAAUCAGCCUUAAACACUAAAAUGUCAUUUUUUAUUGGUAAAACGUGGUCGUUCGCGUUCUUUCUCUAGUCGUAAACCAUGAAAAAUAAUUGAUUAGUUUUAUCAAACUAAAAGGUCAAGUUAUAAAUUAGUAAUUAUCUUAUUGCAAAAAAAAAGAUAAUUAAAUAAUUGUUAAUAAAAAUAACGGCUGCGAGCAAAAUUAAUAUUAAAAAACACAUGUUAAAACUAUUUUAUUUCUUAGAUAGUUUUUUAUUUUCCUAAUAAUCUUACCAAGUGUCAUUUUUUUUUCAAAAAAAAAACAUUCGGAAAUCUGAUUAGAAAAAAUUGUUACUUUCAAAACUAUAAUUUUAAACGGUUCAAGAAGAUAUUAAUGUGACAACCAACGUAACAGUACUAGAUGAUACUUUAUCACUGCAUUUAAAUAUUAAACUCAACGGUCAAACUCGUUGCUAGUGAAGGAAGAGGAAGAGGAAGAAGAAUUUUCAUCCUUCAUUAUUUUAUUUCCUAUUAGAUUUCAUUUUUUUUAUUAUUGUUUUUUUUCUUUAUAAUUUUUUUUAGACUAAUAAUUUUUUUUACCCUUCAUCGUUCAACAUUUAAUUAAUUUCAAUUUAAAUUUCUUGAUUAAAUCUAUAUCUAAAAUUUUAUGAGUUUUAAUAAAUUUCACGUGUUUUCUUUAAAUUUAAUAAUUUUUUAUUUUCAUAUUUAAAUUAGAGCUACAUAAGAUUAAAAUAACAAAGUAUUUUUUUUUAACCAUAUCACCAUUUGAGUGAGGCAUUUAAUUUGUUGUUUCCUCACUUUGUAGAAUAACUCACACCAAUUUUUUAAUUUAUUUAUUAAUAUUUAUGAUGUUGGAUUAAUUUAUUCUCAUACACUAGUCAAAAUUUCAAUUAUUGUUUCAAAUAUUUCAUCCCAAAAAUAAUAUUUAUAUUGUUUUAAUACAAUUUUUUUUAUAUAUAUAACCCACAGUGAAGUGAAGAUCUAAAACCUAGUACUAGUAGCUAUCCAAAUAACAUCCUAAUCAAAGCUGAGAAACUUGAAGAUUUCAUAAAACAAAGUAGUACAAUGAAUUGAGGAAGAGGAACCGCCACUCGAAGCUGCCACCAGAAGAGACGAAUCCAUUUUCAGAAUAAUAUGUUUGAAUCAAAGAUGCCAUGCUAAUUUGAGACCCAACAAAGCAGCCCCACAUUUCAGCCUGGUCAGAAUUACAAGCCAGCACACAAACUGGGUGGUGAUCAGAUUUAAUCCGAGGAAGAUGAAGAACCAUGGCAUCAUCGAAAUUCAUUAGCCAAAAUUGAUUGCAAAAGGCACAUAUCGAUUCUUUCAAGCCAUAAUUUAUAGCUUCCUGUCCCCGGCCCCUCAAGUAAAACAAGAACCCAUGAAACACAAAUCAAUAAGUUUACACUUUACACUCAUCAAUCCAUUGUUUAUACCUCAAACAACGAGAGAAAUCAAAAGGAGCUCCACCUUUUUGUCUGCAGGACUAAGCAUCUCAUUAAAAACACCCAGAUCGAUGUAUCAUAGAACCAGCAAUAAUUCUAAUUAUAUGGUAAAACAAUGUUGUGUUUCAACGAAUACUAAGGGUUGGCAUAAAUAACCAUUUGCCUUUUAGACACAUUCUCAAUUUCAAUAUGAACAAAUUGGCCUCCACUAUCUAUACAAUACGAACCCUGUUAGCAGUGUCUUUCCAAAGAAUCCAUAAACCACCUGAGAAACCUUGAGCAUCCACUCUGAGAGACUUUAUCCGUAUUAACCUCACCAAUGCGAGGUUCAACAAUAGCCACCAUAUCAACUUUAUUAAUCCUCGUUAAAUCAUAAAAAAAUACUACUAAAUUUGGUGCUUGCUGCCCCCCGAUAAUUAUAAUAGAUAAUCCAGCCUUGCUGUCCGUAUUUGAGAUAGGAAAUUCCAAAGACUUGACUUCGCCACUCGGUUUUGAAAUCUUGAACUUUCUUUAUACUUAUGGCGGAUGUAUAUUGAGUGAGCCAGUCUAUGCGUGUUUUAUAAUUUAUACUCCUCUGAUAUGGGAUUUUGGAAUUAAGUGCUUGCUUUGUAACUCUGGACUGCGUCCAACAAUUAUAAUGGGCUCGUGCCUUGUUUAAACUGAAAGAAAAUUCCGGUUCAAAAAGGAAAGAUGAAAAGGUUACAAUCUAAAAUUGUCUUCCCAGAAGAGCACAAACAUCUAGUCUAAGAAUUGGGGGUAGUGCUCUAUUAGUUUUUUACGUAAAGGGUGGGGUUUCUACUUUCUAUAAAGGCCAAUACCACAUCAAAUACAACACUGAAAGAAAACAAGAGAACAGACAAACAUAUUCAGUUUUGGCCAUGUAUGAAAGAGACAAUCUUUUUAAGCAUGGCCACAGCAUUGUCGCUGGCUGGCUUGAACAAAUGAAAGACGUGCCCCUCUCCUUUGACCUCCAUAGUCUCAAUCACUCCAACCCAUCCGCUUUUCUUCAAAGUCUCGCAGUAUAGCAGGCCCCUAUCCCUUAGCAAAUCUUUCUCAGCAACAGAAACAAACACCUUGGAGCACCCCAGACUAGACAAAUUUGGAUCAUAAGUAGGAUUGAUUAAAGGGUCAUCACAUCCACUUGUUUUAGGACAUGCAAGGUGCCAUGUUGCACUGAUCCCUUUCAACACUCUCUCUAAUUCAUUAACUUCAUUUCCAAUCGGUUCCUCUCCCCAAAAAUAAGGAUUUAUUAAAACAAUACCUGCAACAUUUACACCAAUUAUUUUCUCUUGACCAAACCUCAUA
rnacentral:lncRNA from 1 species